AUCUGGUGUUGGGGGCACUUAUUACACAACCUCUUGAAUCGCUCCCAGUACUCAUACAGCGAUUCCCCUAGGUGCUGCUUGAUCCCACAUAUUUCUUUCCUUAGACU